rnacentral:rRNA from 1 species
CCCUACGGGGCGCACCAGGCCAAUUUGCAGACAAUGGAGAAAUGGAAGCUGGGGUUCAAUUUACAGUUACGGCGCCUGGCCUGAUUGACGGUAUUCGAUUCCUGCCCAGCAGCAAUAUUCCUUCGGGCGGCUCAAGACCGGUUAGACUUUGGUUGAAUAGCGGUAGCGGCGGCUCGGUCAUCGCUAGUGGCUCAACGUCCAAUGAAACCAACUCCGGCUGGCAACAGGUUAUUUUUGCUACCCCCGUGGCGGUUACGCCGGGGCAAACCUAUACGGCAUCUAUGCAUAUACCUGCCAAUGUUCAAUAUGUUGCCGCAAAUGGUGGGUAUAAUGUGGCUCGAACAAGUGACCCGGGCGGUCAUGUAUCGGUAGCUAUUGGCGGGGGAGC